rnacentral:pre_miRNA from 1 species
CUGCCUGGAUCCUGUGACCUAUGGGCUUCCCUUUGUCAUCCUAUGCCUGGAGAUCACAGUGAGGCAGGGACAGCAAAGGGGUGCUCAGCUGUCGUCUCUAAC